AUUGAACGCUGGCGGCGUGCCUAAUACAUGCAAGUCGAGCGAAGCGGCGGAUUGGUGAGUAACGCGUGGGUAACCUGCCCUUAAUUCUGGCAUACCAUUUGGAAACAUAUGCUAAUUCCGGAUACUACAGGAUGGACCGGCGAUGCAUUAGCUAGUUGGUAAGGUAACGGCUUACCAAGGCGAUGAUGCAUAGCCGAGUUGAGAGGCUGAUCGGCCACAUUGGGACUGAGACACGGCCCAAACUCCUACGGGAGGCAGCAGUAGGGAAUCUUCCACAAUGGACGAAAGUCUGAUGGAGCAACGCCGCGUGAGUGAAGAAGGUUUUCGGAUCGUAAAGCUCUGUUGUUGGUGAAGCGGUAAUCAACCAGAAAGUCACGGCUAACUACGUGCCAGCAGCCGCGGUAAUUC
rnacentral:rRNA from 1 species